rnacentral:rRNA from 1 species
GAUGAACGCUGGCGGCGUGCCUAAUACAUGCAAGUCGAGCGAACAGAUCAGGAGCUUGCUCCUUUGACGUUAGCGGCGGACGGGUGAGUAACACGUGGGUAACCUACCUAUAAGACUGGGAUAACUUCGGGAAACCGGAGAUAAUACCGGAUAAUAUUUCGAACCGCAUGGUUCGAUAGUGAAAGAUGGUUUUGCUAUCACUUAUAGAUGGACCCGCGCCGUAUUAGCUAGUUGGUAAGGUAACGGCUUACCAAGGCGACGAUACGUAGCCGACCUGAGAGGGUGAUCGGCCACACUGGAACUGAGACACGGUCCAGACUCCUACGGGAGGCAGCAGUAGGGAAUCUGCCGCAAUGGGCGAAAGCCUGACGGAGCAACGCCGCGUGAGUGAUGAAGGUCUUCGGAGCGUAAAACUCUGUUAUUAGGGAAGAACAUACGUGUAAGUAACUGUGCACGUCUUGACGGUACCUAAUCAGAAAGCCACGGCUAACUACGUG